rnacentral:rRNA from 1 species
AGCAGCCGCGGUAAUUCCAGCUCCAAUAGCGUAUAUUAAAGUUGUUGCAGUUAAAAAGCUCGUAGUUGAAUUUCGGGAUCAAUUUGCUGGUCGUGCCUUCGGUACGCACUGGUAUUAUUGGUUUCUCCUUUCUGAUGAAUCGCGAUGUCAUUAAUUUGGUGUCGUGGGGAAUCAAGGACCGUUACUUUGAAAAAAUUAGAGUGUUUAAAGCAGGCUCACGCUUGAAUACAUUAGCAUGGAAUAAUGAAAUAGGACGUUUUGAUUCUAUUUUGUUGGUUUCUAGGAUCGACGUAAUGAUUAAUAGGGAUAGUUGGGGGCAUUAGUAUUCAAUUGUCAGAGGUGAAAUUCUUGGAUUUAUUGAAGACUAACUACUGCGUAAAGCAAUUUGCCUAAGGAUAGUUUUCAUUAAUCAAGAACGAAAGUUAGGGGAUCGAAGACGAUCAGAUACCGUCGUAGUCUUAACCAUAAACCUAUGCCGACUAGGGAUCGGAUGAUGUUAAUUUUUAAUGACUCAUUCGGC